UCGGAGUUUCUUCAGGUGGUCGAGAAAGGUUAACCGACAGGGAGUAACUGGCUUCGUGGCAGCCAAGACGUCCAUAGCGACGUUGUCAUUUUGUAUCCUUCGAUGUCGGCUUUUCCUAUCAUUGCGAAGCAGAAUUCGCCAAGCUGGAUUUCUUCUUAAUUGCCGUAAAAAACGGCACGGGAGAUACGGUGCCGCACAAGACUGGCGCGCUCCAGUCGAACUCCUUGUAGGAAAUAGUGCGCCAGACCGCCGAAGAAGUA
rnacentral:ncRNA from 1 species